ACGUAGGAGGCAAGCGUUAUUCGGAUUUACUGGGCGUAAAGCGCGUGCAGGCGGUUUGGAAAGUUGGAUGUGAAAGCUCCUGGCUCAACUGGGAGAGGUCGUUCAAAACUUCCAGACUUGAGAGUGGUAGAGGGAGGUGGAAUUCCGGGUGUAGGGGUGACAUGCGCAAAUCUUCGGAGGAACACCAGUGGCGAAGGCGACCUACUGGACCACAUCUGACGGUCAGUCACGAAAGCUAGGGUAGCAAACGG
rnacentral:rRNA from 1 species